rnacentral:rRNA from 1 species
GAUCAUGGCUCAGGACGAACGCUGGCGGCGUGCCUAAUACAUGCAAGUCGAGCGGACCUUUCGGGGUCAGCGGCGGACGGGUGAGUAACACGUGGGCAAUCUGCCCGAUACUCUGGGAUAACGCUUGGAAACGAGUGCUAAUACCGGAUGGUCUUCUUGGCCGCAUGGCCGAAAAGGAAAAGACGCGUUCGCGUCGGUGUCGGAUGAGCCCGCGGCGCAUUAGCUAGUUGGUGAGGUAACGGCCCACCAAGG